CUACUGCGCAGAUCUAGCUGAAGCUUGUCAUACGUAGGGUGCAAGCGUUAUCCGGAAUUAUUGGGCGUAAAGGGCUCGUAGGCGGUUCGUCGCGUCCGGUGUGAAAGCCCAUCGCUUAACGGUGGGUCUGCGCCGGGUACGGGCGGGCUGGAGUGCGGUAGGGGAGACUGGAAUUCCCGGUGUAACGGUGGAAUGUGUAGAUAUCGGGAAGAACACCAAUGGCGAAGGCAGGUCUCUGGGCCGUCACUGACGCUGAGGAGCGAAAGCGUGGGGAGCGAACAGGAUUAGAUACCCUGGUAGUCCACGCCGUAAACGGUGGAUGCUGGAUGUGGGGCCCGUUCCACGGGUUCCGUGUCGGAGCUAACGCGUUAAGCAUCCCGCCUGGGGAGUACGGCCGCAAGGCUAAAACUCAAAGAAAUUGACGGGGGCCCGCACAAGCGGCGGAGCAUGCGGAUUAAUUCGAUGCAACGCGAAGAACCUUACCUGGGCUUGACAUGUUCCCGACAGCCGUAGAGAUAUGGCCUCCCUUCGGGGCGGGUUCACAGGUGGUGCAUGGUCGUCGUCAGCUCGUGUCGUGAGAUGUUGGGUUAAGUCCCGCAACGAGCGCAACCCUCGCCCUGUGUUGCCAGCACGUCAUGGUGGGAACUCACGGGGGACCGCCGGGGUCAACUCGGAGGAAGGUGGGGAUGACGUCNGAUCAUCAUGCCCCUUACGUCCAGGGCUUCACGCAUGCUACAAUGGCCGGUACAGCGGGAUGCGACAUGGCGACAUGGAGCGGAUCCCUGAAAACCGGUCUCAGUUCGGAUUGGAGUCUGCAACCCGACUCCAUGAAGGCGGAGUCGCUAGUAAUCGCGGAUCAGCAACGCCGCGGUGAAUGCGUUCCCGGGCCUUGUNCACACCGGCCGGUCAGUCUUGAAAGUGGGCAGCACCCGAAGCCGGUGGCCUAACCCUUGUGGGAUGAGCCGUCUAGGUGAAGUCGUGAUUGGACUAGUCGUACAUG
rnacentral:rRNA from 1 species